AACGAACGCUGGCGGCAUGCCUAACACAUGCAAGUCGAACGAGACCUUCGGGUCUAGUGGCGCACGGGUGCGUAACGCGUGGGAAUCUGCCCUUGGGUUCGGAAUAACAGUUAGAAAUGACUGCUAAUACCGGAUAAUGUCUUCGGACCAAAGAUUUAUCGCCCAGGGAUGAGCCCCGCGUAGGAUUAGCUAGUUGGUGAGGUAAAGGCUCACCAAGGCGACGAUCCUUAGCUGGUCUGAGAGGAUGAUCAGCCACACUGGGACUGAGACACGGCCCAGACUCCUACGGGAGGCAGCAGUGGGGAAUAUUGGACAAUGGGCGAAAGCCUGAUCCAGCAAUGCCGCGUGAGUGAUGAAGGCCUUAGGGUUGUAAAGCUCUUUGUCAGGGAAGAAACGGUUGUGGCUAAUAUCCAUGGCUAAUGACGGUACCUGAAGAAUAAGCACCGGACUAACUACGUGCCAGCAGCCG
rnacentral:rRNA from 1 species